AGAGUUUGAUCCUGGCUCAGAACGAACGCUGGCGGCAGGCCUAACACAUGCAAGUCGAGCGAUCCUUUCGGGGAUAGCGGCGGACGGGUGAGUAACGCGUGGGAAUGUGCCCUUCUCUACGGAAUAGCCUCGGGAAACUGGGAGUAAUACCGUAUACGCCCCUUGGGGGAAAGAUUUAUCGGAGAAGGAUCAGCCCGCGUUGGAUUAGGUAGUUGGUGGGGUAAUGGCCUACCAAGCCUACGAUCCAUAGCUGGUUUGAGAGGAUGAUCAGCCACACUGGGACUGAGACACGGCCCAGACUCCUACGGGAGGCAGCAGUGGGGAAUCUUAGACAAUGGGGGCAACCCUGAUCUAGCCAUGCCGCGUGAGUGAUGAAGGCCUUAGGGUUGUAAAGCUCUUUCAGCUGGGAAGAUAAUGACGGUACCAGCAGAAGAAGCCCCGGCUAACUCCGUGCCAGCAGCCGCGGUAAUACGGAGGGGGCUAGCGUUGUUCGGAAUUACUGGGCGUAAAGCGCACGUAGGCGGACCAGAAAGUUGGGGGUGAAAUCCCGGGGCUCAACCUCGGAACUGCCUUCAAAACUAUUGGUCUGGAGUUCGAGAGAGGUGAGUGGAAUUCCGAGUGUAGAGGUGAAAUUCGUAGAUAUUCGGAGGAACACCAGUGGCGAAGGCGGCUCACUGG
rnacentral:rRNA from 1 species